rnacentral:tRNA from 1 species
GAGACUUAUGUGAAUCUCCCAGGCCUGCUAAGCCAAAGGAGCCGUGGUUUAACUCCAUGGAAAUCUCG